GGGACAACCACAAAUAU
rnacentral:rRNA from 1 species